UUGAGCAGCGACGCCCGUCCGUGCACGCCCAUCAGUCGUGGGGCCGAGACCGACUUCGCCUCGGCUGCGAGCGGGUUUCCUGUGUUGCGUACCUACUGAAAUGGAAUUCGAUUGUCCCAACGUUUGUACGUCCGUCUCGCGCUGUCCCUUGGGGGUGCGGCGUCGGGUGGACCUCGAAGCGGAGCCCGCGUUCUGGGUCGCUCACGUUACGUGUUGCUGUCCCGGCCCGCGGAUCGUCGCUCGGGCUCGCGGAUGCGUAAUACUCGGAGGGUAGGGUCGUCUUGUCGACCCUUGUUUGCCCGAAAUAAAUUUCGUUACCGAACGACUGUCGUCGUUCUGCCGAGGCUGUUGGAUCCCCUGGACCCAUCGUCCUCUCAGGACGCCGUCGUCUGUGAGGA
rnacentral:misc_RNA from 1 species